UGGGGAAUUUUGGACAAUGGGCGAAAGCCUGAUCCAGCAAUGCCGCGUGUGUGAAGAAGGCCCUCGGGUUGUAAAGCACUUUUGUCCGGAAAGAAAUCCUUGGCUCUAAUACAGUCGGGGGAUGACGGUACCGGAAGAAUAAGCACCGGCUAACUACGUGCCAGCAGCCGCGGUAAUACGUAGGGUGCAAGCGUUAAUCGGAAUUACUGGGCGUAAAGCGUGCGCAGGCGGUUUGCUAAGACCGAUGUGAAAUCCCCGGGCUCAACCUGGGAACUGCAUUGGUGACUGGCAGGCUAGAGUAUGGCAGAGGGGGGUAGAAUUCCACGUGUAGCAGUGAAAUGCGUAGAGAUGUGGAGGAAUACCGAUGGCGAAGGCAGCCCCCUGGGCCAAUACUGACGCUCAUGCACGAAAGCGUGGGGAGCAAACAGGAUUAGAUACCCUGGUAGUCCACGCCCUAAAACGAUGUCAACUAGUUGUUGGGGAUUCAUUUCCUUAGUAACGUAGCUAACGCGUGAAGUUGACCGCCUGGGGAGUACGGUCGCAAGAUUAAAACUUAAAUGAAUUG
rnacentral:rRNA from 1 species